rnacentral:ncRNA from 1 species
AAAAAAUUAGAUUUUGGCAUCGGUAUCUCCCAUCGACAUUUGGAUUCCUCAAUGUCCCCCGGCUAUUUAGUCGGGGAUUUU